CUGGAGGUAUCAGAAGUGCGAAUGCUGACAUAAGUAACGAUAAAGCGGGUGAAAAGCCCGCUCGCCGGAAGACCAAGGGUUCCUGUCCAACGUUAAUCGGGGCAGGGUGAGUCGACCCCUAAGGCGAGGCCGAAAGGCGUAGUCGAUGGGAAACGGGUUAAUAUUCCCGUACUUGGUGUUACUGCGAAGGGGGGACGGAGAAGGCUAUGUUGGCCGGGCGACGGUUGUCCCGGUUUAAGCGUGUA
rnacentral:rRNA from 1 species